ensembl:snRNA U4 U4 spliceosomal RNA
AGCUUUGCGCAGUGGCAGUAUCGUAGCCAAUGAGGUUUAUCUGAGGUGUGAUUAUUGCUAAUAAAACAAAUGUCAUCAAAGGGGCACCUGGCUGACUCAGACUCUUGAUUUCGGCUCAGGUCAUGAUCUCAAGGUC